UUGUCAUUUUCAGAGUGGCUUGCAGCUGAACUCAGAGUGCAAAGGAGUGAGGAUGCCCUGUCUGACCCAGAUAAGUGAAGCACAUGCCUUAAUAAGCAACACACAGAUUCAUUUUGGUAUAUGUUGAUGUGUUGAAUAUGUAACAGAGCCUGUGUGCAGACGGGGUCAGUAUUGGACUGAUCUCUAAUCCAGAUCAUUCUAAUUAUCCAAUAGACAUUUUUGAAGUCAGUUCAGUAUCAGUAUUGUUUUGAAAUCAGAGUGAAGAGGACUCUGGACUGUGAGACCAUCAUGGAAUAUAUCAACUAGUAUCAGGUGUGUCCAUAUGGGGGUUAAGAGAGGGAGGGAGGGACUAUAACAGAGCAGGAUGAUUCAGUUAGCUACAGUCUGAAUACAUGUGUGAAUCCAUAGUUCAAUUCUCAUCUUGACCAAACCUGUCGAAAUCAAGACCCUUAUUUAUUUUUACAGAAAUACUAUGAUGUGUUUCCAGAUUUGAUUAUUAUUGUUAUUCUGCGUUUCUUUGUGUAUCAGAAGAAGGGCAGCUUCCAAGCUGGCCUGCUGCACUACCAUCUCACAGCACACUUCUUAACAGUAAAUUGGUUCCAUUCUUAGAUUAUUAACUGUACUGCUAUAGACAUGGGUAGGCCGUCUUAACAACAUAUUGUGAUAUUUAUCAUAAAAAAUUGGAAUAUCUUCCCUCUUUUUAUUUUUCAUAGGCUGUGCUCAUGGCAGGGGCUGUCCCCUGAGCUGUAACUGUCCAUCAGGAGAAGUGAACAAAACCAAAUCCCUGAUCAGUCUUCACUGUCCACUGCUCCUCGUCUCUGCUAGUGUACAGUACAUUAUACUACCAGGAACACAUCUGAUUGUUAGUCUGAGUUCAAAGAAGGGGUGUCAUGCCCUGUUCCCUCUGCCCCGCCCCUCCUCCUGGCAGCCUGUCUGCACUGUGUAUGGGCGGGCCAAGGGAGUGGCCAGGGGAGUGGCCAGGGGAGUGGCCAGGGCAUCAGGACAAGCCUGGAGGUGUUGGGACAGCUGGCAGAACAGCACAGACAGCCUGGUCCCCCAUCUUAACUCUGAGAUGUUGGAGAGGACAUUGAAGGUCCCAGGGUUCCUGUGCUCUGCUACUCAUCCCUUAUCAAGCUCUUUAUGGAUGGCCAGACGUCUUUCCCUGUGACCGAGCACCCAACUGAUGAGAUGGACCCCUCCCAGAUUCUGACCCGGGCCCAGUAGGUGCUUCUGAAGACUCUCUGACAUCCCCAACCUCACUGUCUCAACAUCAGCUGAACCAGGUAACACAUUAGUGCACUGACCACCCAGCGCAAGGCUGAUCUUAGUUUGUGCAGUGGCGGUUCUAGACCAUUUCAACUGGGGGGGCCAAGCUGGGGC
rnacentral:lncRNA from 1 species